GGGCGUGUAGCUCAGUGGAUUAGAGUAUGUGGCUACGAACCACAGGGUCGGGGGUUCAAAUCCCUCCAUGCUCA
rnacentral:tRNA from 1 species